UACGUAGGGUGCAAGCGUUAAUCGGAAUUACUGGGCGUAAAGCGCGCGUAGGUGGCUAAUUAAGUCAAAUGUGAAAUCCCCGAGCUUAACUUGGGAAUUGCAUUCGAUACUGCUUAGCUUGAGUCGAGGAGAGGAAAGCGGAAUUCCUAGUGUAGCGGUGAAAUGCGUAGAUAUUAGGAAGAACACCAGUGGCGAAGGCGGCUUUCUGGACUGUAACAGACGCUGAGGCACGAAAGCGUGGGGAGCGAACAGG
rnacentral:rRNA from 1 species